rnacentral:misc_RNA from 1 species
GAUGAAGAACGUAGCGAAAUGCGAUACGUAAUGUGAAUUGCAGAAUUCAGUGAAUCAUCGAAUCUUUGAACGCACAUUGCGCCCCCUGGUAUUCCGGGGGGCAUGCCUGUCCGAGCGUCAUUACAACCCUCAAGCUCAGCUUGGUGUUGGGCCCCGCCGCCCCGGCGGGCCCUAAAGUCAGUGGCGGUGCCGUCCGGCUCCGAGCGUAGUAAUUCUUCUCGCUCUGGAGGUCCGGUCGUGUGCUCGCCAGCAACCCCCAAUUUUUUUCAGGUUGACCUCGGAUCAGGUAGGAAUACCCGCUGAACUUAAGCAUAUCAAUAAGCGGAGGA